ensembl:lncRNA EPIC1 epigenetically induced MYC interacting lncRNA 1
GUGUUCAGUCCGCCAUUGCAAACACGAAGCUCUUCCAGAAACGCCCUCACAGACACCCCGGAAGUCACGUACCCACUCUGUAGGUGCCCCGGGGCACAGGCAAGCGGACGAGCCAGUUAUCCCUCAGAGCUCCUGCUGCCUCGCCCGCUUUCUCUCGGAAACGUGAAGUGUGGCCUCAGCUGAAAGUGAGGUGGGCCUCAUUCAAUCAGUUGAAUUCUUCAAGAGAGAAAAACUGAAGUCCCUUAGAAGGAAAGAGUUCUGCCUUCAGACUGUCUUUGAACUUAAGACUGUAGCGUCGACUCCUGCCGGAAUUUCCAGCCUGCUGGCCAGCUCUGCAGAUUCACACUUGCCAGCCUCCACAAUCGCAGCUGAGGCGGAGGAACCCUAAGGGCUCAUUGAGAUCAUGGAUUUGCCCUUCUAUGCAUUGAUGGAGCACCUGCUGCCCACAGCGUCUGUAUUUGGUGCUGGGAUGCUGAGCCUCCUUCUUUAUGAAUUUUUAAAAGGACACUGAGAUCUUCAAACAGAGGCUGCCACUCUAAGCAAACAGAUCCCGAGCCCUGGACUCUGAAGCUUGGGCCCAGUUCUCCUUUUCUCCGGGUUUCAGAUCCCACUGUGAAGUGAGGGGUUUUAAAAGUAAUAAAGGAAGAUGCCCCAAGGAAACAAGAUAACGGGAUUAAAGUGAGAAAAGGAGAGAACAGCCAGGCAAUGUUUCUGAGAUGCUCUCGAUGACCUGCAGGCAAAUCCUUCCUUUUAAUUGUCACUAAAGGGAUUAUACAAUUUCCUCCUCAGAUGUAAAGUGUUAUGACCAGCAGAGCGUAAUUGAAGUGCAUUCCAGAGGGAAAGACAGCGGCUCAGUGAAGGAAAGACCCUGGCUUUCCUCCCCAGCUCCAAGUGGGCUGUUCUGAUUGCUUCCGGGUCCUGUCCUCAUGGGGAGCAGCACCACGGGAGACUCUGCCUCUGCUGAGUUUUCUAACAUUAGUGUCGGGAAACAAGAAUCUGCCACUGAUGCUCCUUUUGUAAAGUAAAUCAAAGGUUUCGCCAUCAUGUAAACCCUUGGGCGACAGAGUCUACCUGUCUCCCCCUGAUAUUGUUCUAUGAGAUUUCGAUGCUAUCUUCAUUGCCAGCAGCCCUGACAAAGAUGCACUGCAGACGGAUAGCCUCUCAGGGAACACUCCCUUUGUUAGGAAAAUCUGACAGCUGGAAGCCGUGAGUUCUUGGCCCCUUGCCCUGAAGCAAGAGUGACCAGGCCUCUCUCCUGAGGGAAGGCCUUCCCAGGUGGGGACAUAGGCCCUAAAGUGAGAACUGAAGCAUUGUCCACUCCCUCUUUGAUGCCACAUGCAUGGACGGUUCAGUGAAUGUCGUGGGAACUCAGCUGUGCCCACCCCUGCUUUGUUACCCCGGCACUUUGGGAAACAGCAGAGUCCAGCAGAAACCACUGAAGUUUUGGGCUCGGAGGGAUUCCAGUUCAAGCCCCGGCUUCACCACCUACAAGGUUCAAUUUUGGUCUAGGAAUGGAACUUCUCUGAGUCUUAGUUGCUGUCAUCAAUAUUAUUUUACUGUCAUCAUUAUUUAUAGUAAAAUAAUAACCUCUCA